UACGGAGGGUGCAAGCGUUGUUCGGAAUUACUGGGCGUAAAGCGCGUGUAGGCGGUCGCAUAAGUCUGAUGUGAAAGCCCGGGGCUCAACCCCGGAAGUGCAUUGGAAACUGCGCGACUAGAGUGUCGGAGAGGAGGGUGGAAUUCCUGGUGUAGCGGUGAAAUGCGUAGAUAUCAGGAGGAACACCGGUGGCGAAGGCGGCCCUCUGGACGAAUACUGACGCUGAGACGCGAAAGCGUGGGGAGCAAACAGG
rnacentral:rRNA from 1 species